GAUCCUGGCUCAGAUUGAACGCUGGCGGCAGGCCUAACACAUGCAAGUCGAACGGUAACAGGAAACAGCUUGCUGUUUCGCUGACGAGUGGCGGACGGGUGAUAAUGUCUGGGAAACUGCCUGAUGGAGGGGGAUAACUACUGGAAACGGUAGCUAAUACCGCAUAACGUCGCAAGACCAAAGAGGGGGACCUUCGGGCCUCUUGCCAUCGGAUGUGCCCACGAUGGGAUUAGCUAGUAGGUGGGGUAACGG
rnacentral:rRNA from 1 species